AGUGAACGCUGGCGGUAGGCCUAACACAUGCAAGUCGAACGGCAGCACAGUAAGAGCUUGCUCUUACGGGUGGCGAGUGGCGGACGGGUGAGGGAUACAUCGGAAUCUACUUUUUCGUGGGGGAUAACGUAGGGAAACUUACGCUAAUACCGCAUACGACCUACGGGUGAAAGCAGGGGAUCUUCGGACCUUGCGCGAUUGAAUGAGCCGAUGUCGGAUUAGCUAGUUGGCGGGGUAAAGGCCCACCAAGGCGACGAUCCGUAGCUGGUCUGAGAGGAUGAUCAGCCACACUGGAACCGAGACACGGUCCAGACUCCUACGGGAGGCAGCAGUGGGGAAUAUUGGACAAUGGGCGCAAGCCUGAUCCAGCCAUACCGCGUGGGUGAAGAAGGCCUUCGGGUUGUAAAGCCCUUUUGUUGGGAAAGAAAAGCAGCAGGUUAAUACCCCGCUGUUCUGACGGUACCCAAAGAAUAAGCACCGGCUAACUUCGUG
rnacentral:rRNA from 1 species